rnacentral:lncRNA from 1 species
AUGGCCGCCUCGGCCGAGUACGAGCUGGAGAAGAGGGUGGAGCGGCUCGACCUCUUCCCUGUGGAGCUGGAGAAAGGUGGGCCAGCCUGGGCUGGGGUCCCUGCGCCCUCCCGGCCCCCGGCUGCCAACCUCAUCCCCUGCACACCUUGCACACUCCUUGCCUUGCACAUCGGGCACAUGUGCACCUGGUUUGCACUUGGUGCCAUGGCAGCCGUGCACACGUGUUCACACGUGUCCCCCCUGCAGCCAGCUCCACCCCGGGGCUCCCCCAUGGCCGAGGCACCCAAGGGUGCCUGCGGGAGAUGGGAGAGGCAGCCAGCCCACUGCAGGCUCCCCAAGCAAAGGAGGUCCCCAGGCACCGGGGAAGGAGGGAGGCCAGCUGAGGCAUCGUGCAACCUCUGGGGAGAGAGAGGGGCCCCUUGUCCAGCCACUGUCCAUCCCUUCCCUCUCCGAGCACUCSUCGUCUCCCGUGGCCUUGCUCUCUGCCUGUGCCUGGGCGGACGUUCCUGGCGGAGGGGCUGCAUCAGCCCCGGGUGUCCCCCGCUCACCCGCCCCGCGAGGACACGGGCUCUCUGUCCCCACAGACUCCGAAGGGCUGGGGAUCAGCAUCAUCGGCAUGGGUGCAGGGGCCGACAUGGGCCUGGAGAAACUGGGCAUCUUCGUCAAGACGGUGACGGAGGGAGGGGCGGCCCACCGGGACGGCAGGAUCCAGGUGAACGACCUCAUCGUGGAGGUGGACGGCACCAGCCUGGUGGGGGUGACGCAGAGCUUCGCCGCCUCCGUGCUCAGGAACACCAAGGGCCGCGUCCGGUAGGGCCCGGGGGACCCCGGCGCGUCGCAGCCGUGCCCGUGGCCGACAAUAGCCCAUUGUCUCGGCUUCCUGCCGGCCUCAGCGCCCCGCCCCAGGCCGGGCCAUGGGGCACUGGCCUUGGCCGUCACACCAGGGACCCCCCCCCCCCCAUGGACCGACCCCGGACUGGGGGUGCUCGGGGGGUGGGGAGAGCCCCCAGCUGGUGCUGAGCCCCCUG